GCAUGGAGUGCGGUAGCUGCGGCGAGUGAGCGGCAACAGCUCAAAUUUGAAAGCUAGCCUUCGGGUUCGCAUUGUAAUUUGUAGAGGAUGAUUUGGGGAAGCCGCCUGUCUAAGUUCCUUGGAACAGGACGUCAUAGAGGGUGAGAAUCCCGUAUGUGACAGGAAAUGGCACCCUAUGUAAAUCUCCUUCGACGAGUCGAGUUGUUUGGGAAUGCAGCUCUAAAUGGGAGGUAAAUUUCUUCUAAAGCUAAAUAUUGGCGAGAGACCGAUAGCGCACAAGUAGAGUGAUCGAAAGAUGAAAAGCACUUUGGAAAGAGAGUUAAAAAGCACGUGAAAUUGUUGAAAGGGAAGCGCUUGCAAUCAGACUUGUUUAAACUGUUCGGCCGGUCUUCUGACCGGUUUACUCAGUUUGGACAGGCCAGCAUCAGUUUCGGCGGCCGGAUAAAGGCUCUGGGAAUGUGGCCUCCACUUCGGUGGAGGUGUUAUAGCCCAGGGUGUAAUACGGCCAGCCGGGACUGAGGUCCGCGCUUCGGCUAGGAUGCUGGCGUAAUGGUUGUAAGCGACCCGUCUUGAACCACGGAGCCAAA
rnacentral:rRNA from 1 species